CCCUUAGAUGUUCUGGGCUGCACGCGCGCUACACUGAUGCGUUCAACGAGUUUAUGGCCUUGCCCGAUAGGGUUGGGUAAUCUUUUUAAAUCGCAUCGUGAUGGGGAUAGAUUAUUGCAAUUAUUAAUCUUCAACGAGGAAUGCCUAGUAAGCGCAAGUCGUCAGCUUGCGUUGAUUACGUCCCUGCCCUUUGUACACACCGCCCGUCGCUCCUACCGAUUGAAUGGUCCGGUGAAGCGUUCGGACCGUGGCCUUUGGACGGUUCGCCGUCUGUUGGCUGCGGGAAGUUCGUUAAACCUUAUCAUUUAGAGGAAGGAGAAGUCGUANCA
rnacentral:rRNA from 1 species